GGAGGAAGGCUCAGGCUGUCCCCGGGGAGAAACUGAUUGCUCACAAUCAGCACCACGGAUACAGCAUGCAGGGAGAGUCACCACGUAUUUUAAGUCAUCAACUCUUUUCAUUCUUAUAUGACCCAGGACAUAACAGUUCACCAGUUGGCCAGUGCUGGUGAAAACUGGAAAUAGCAAAACUCAGAACACAAGUAGGAAUUCUAUUCUACAUUUUCAUGAAAGCUGCCUGCCUCCUGAGAUCUUCAAGAGAAAUCUUUCUGUGUAUCCCAGAAAUUUGUUUAGUUGGAACUAAGAAGAGGGCCUUUUGAGUGACUGCGCUCAGACUGGAAGUCCUGAAGGAGGCUCUCCAAUGGCCUUCAGCCGUGCAGUUAAAACUUUCAUUUUCAGGAAGGCUUUUCAGUGUUGUCCUAUUAAAUUGCUAGAAACUGUCCAGUUAAGGGAUUUCUAAUGGGCAUCUGUACUUUUUAUCAUUUACAGUCUUCUCCUGCUGCUUUUAUUGUUUUACACUUGUUGAAAUUCUUUUAAUUUAUUCGUGCUAACCACCAUGAAUUCAGUUAAAGAAAGGCAGAGUAUAAAUCAAUGGUGGGGAACCUCUGGCCUCUGGGCCUCCCAUAUUUGGCCUGCAAGGCCAUUUUGGCCAAGCCAUGCUCACCUGCUGUAUACCUGACAGCAUAUGUGAUGUCAGGUGUUGGGCAGGUAAAGAUGCAGCUGGGCCAAAAGGGGGUUUGACCCACCAGGGGUGGGGGAGAUAAGCAUCCCAGUAUAAAGGUUUUAAAUAAAUAAAUCCCAAAUAUUAGUCCAAAUUCCAUCUAAGCCAGAACUAGUGUAAACUCUUAUCAGAGAAGUAGAACUCUAGGUCAGGACUGGAUCAAGACAGUAUUCACUGUCACUCCACUUUUAAAUACACCUAGUGCUGUAGAGUCUCACAACUAUACACCAAAAAAAGAGAUGUUCAACAGCAUGCAAAAUAGUGCUACUGUAUCAGAGCCACAUACGCUCUGUUUGGAUUUUAGGCAGUUAAUAAAAAAUUAUUUCCACAGAUGUGAAACAAAUAGCUAAAAGACAAGAAUUCUGUUGAACGUCAUUACCCAGUCUUCUGUGAUUAUACAAUAAUAGCUUUGAUUGUGAGGGCAAUAACAGCAAUCACUUCUACAUGAUAAACAGAAAUGAAUUUAUCUUUCCCAUUAUAAACCUUGUACAGAUUUAAGAUUCAUUGUGGUUGGCAGUUGAUAGCAAUUCAUCCAACCUCUAACCUGUGUGUCUGCAUCUAUAUACAUCAUCCUUGAACUUGUCUUCAACCAUUUAUGUGUCAAGUUUUCUCAGAUAAAAAUAACUUCAUAGGAGCUAAGAAUGUCAUUAGCAUUUAGCUUGCUAUGUCAUUCCUUUAUGACAUUUCAAUUAAUUAUAUGCUUAUUGUCUGAAUUACAUCGACCUUGUUUUCUUACCUGUGUGUGGGUAAAUUAUACAGAAAUAUUUCCAAAGUUCAACUAAUCCAUUGUUUCCACAAUCCUCUUGUGGACUAUUAGUCGUGUUUCCAAAGGGCAUUUUUGACACACACAGUAUGGGGCAUAUAUGUGAGACAUACUGUACUUGGCAUAACUGUGCAAGACAAAUUAUUUGGUGUGAGAACUCUGUCAGAAUGGCAGGUCAGUCAUGUCAAUUUACUAAAGAAUUGAUUACAUGUAGGAAUCAAUAUAUUCUUGGUACGCUGUCUUUCAU